UACGUGUUCACACCGUUUAUGCCAAUCC
rnacentral:sRNA from 1 species